rnacentral:rRNA from 1 species
CCUACGGGAGGCAGCAGUGGGGAAUAUUGGGCAAUGGACGAAACUCUGACCCAGCAACGCCGCGUGAAUGAUGAAGGUUUUCGGAUUGUAAAGUUCUUUUCUAAGGGAAGAAGAAAGUGACGGUACCUUAGGAAUAAGCCUCGGCUAACUACGUGCCAGCAGCCGCGGUAAUACGUAGGUGGCGAGCGUUAUCCGGAAUGACUGGGUGUAAAGGGGGCGUAGGUGGGAAGGCAAGUUAGUAGCGAAACUCCAAGGCUCAACCUUGGGACUGCUACUAAAACUGUUUGACUUGAGUGCAGGAGAGGCAACCGGAAUUCCUAGUGUAGCGGUGAAAUGCGUAGAUAUUAGGAGGAACACCAGUGGCGAAGGCGGGUUGCUGGACUGUAACUGACGCUGAGGCACGAAAGCGUGGGGAGCAAACAGGAUUAGAUACCCUUGUAGUC